rnacentral:rRNA from 1 species
GACGAACGCUGGCGGCGUGCUUAACACAUGCAAGUCGAGCGGUAAGGCCCUUUCGGGGGUACACGAGCGGCGAACGGGUGAGUAACACGUGGGUGACCUGCCCUUAGCUCUGGGAUAAGCCUGGGAAACCGGGUCUAAUACCGGAUAUGACUCCGCGGCGCAUGUUGUGGGGUGGAAAGCCUUGUGCGGCUGGAGAUGGGCCCGCGGCCUAUCAGCUUGUUGGUGGGGUGAUGGCCUACCAAGGCGACGACGGGUAG